rnacentral:rRNA from 1 species
GUGGGGAAUAUUGGACAAUGGGCGCAAGCCUGAUCCAGCCAUGCCGCGUGAGUGAUGAAGGCCUUAGGGUUGUAAAGCUCUUUCAGUGGGGACGAUAAUGACGGUACCCACAGAAGAAGCCCCGGCUAACUUCGUGCCAGCAGCCGCGGUAAUACGAAGGGGGCUAGCGUUGUUCGGAUUUACUGGGCGUAAAGCGCACGUAGGCGGAUCGUUAAGUCGGGGGUGAAAUCCUGGAGCUCAACUCCAGAACUGCCUUCGAUACUGGGGAUCUUGAGUCCGGAAGAGGUGAGUGGAACUCCUAGUGUAGAGGUGGAAUUCGUAGAUAUUAGGAAGAACACCAGUGGCGAAGGCGGCUCACUGGUCCGGUACUGACGCUGAGGUGCGAAAGCGUGGGGAGCAAACAGGAUUAGAUACCCUAGUAGUCC